rnacentral:rRNA from 1 species
CUACGUGCCAGCAGCCGCGGUAAUACGGAAGGUCCAGGCGUUAUCCGGAUUUAUUGGGUUUAAAGGGAGCGUAGGCUGGAGAUUAAGUGUGUUGUGAAAUGUAGACGCUCAACGUCUGAAUUGCAGCGCAUACUGGUUUCCUUGAGUACGCACAACGUUGGCGGAAUUCGUCGUGUAGCGGUGAAAUGCUUAGAUAUGACGAAGAACUCCGAUUGCGAAGGCAGCUGACAGGAGCGCAACUGACGCUUAAGCUCGAAGGUGCGGGUAUCAAACAGGAUUAGAUACCCUGGUAGUCCGCACAGUAAACGAUGGAUGCCCGCUGUUGGUACCUGGUAUCAGCGGCUAAGCGAAAGCAUUAAGCAUCCCACCUGGGGAGUACGCCGGCAACGGUGAAACUCAAAGGAAUUGACGGGGGCCCGCACAAGCGGAGGAACAUGUGGUUUAAUUCGAUGAUACGCGAGGAACCUUACCCGGGCUUGAAUUGCAGAGGAAGGAUUUAGAGAUA